UACGGGGGGGGCAAGCGUUGUUCGGAAUUACUGGGCGUAAAGGGCGCGUAGGCGGCCACGACAAGUCACUUGUGAAAUCUCCGGGCUUAACUCGGAACGGUCAAGUGAUACUGUCGGGCUAGAGUGCAGAAGGGGCAACUGGAAUUCUCGGUGUAGCGGUGAAAUGCGUAGAUAUCAGGAGGAACACCCAUGGCGAAGGCAGCAAACUGGGCCACAUCUGACGCUGAGGCGCGAAAGCGUGGGUAGCAAACAGG
rnacentral:rRNA from 1 species